AUGAUGGCACACAUGUCAGUAUACAAAAUGAUUGCGCUCUCGGCCAUUGUUCGUCCAUAUAGCUCGAGCAUCUUCUUUCCCCUCUUCUCGAACCAAAUCUUUUUUCUUGGGGACACAUUUGCUCAAGUUUGA
rnacentral:rRNA from 1 species